GGGUAAGGGUUAGCCUUAACCCAUACCUUUACCCUAACCCGCUCCCUAACCCUAACCUUUAAAAUAUGACACCAUAUGUUCACACAACGCUUUAACAUAGCAUAAUAUUAUUUACAGAGAUGCGUGUUCAAACAAAUAACGUCGAGCGUGGGUGAUCACGAAGGAUACACCAUGCAGUGCGUGGAUAUUGCGGUUUGUGACAGUAAACGUUCUCUACAUGAACGAAAUGUUCAGAAGUUUUGCUGUGCCGACAAUUACUGCAACUAUGUACCAACGCUGACGACACCUGUUACCAUGAAAACACAACCGAUCGUUCAGUCAACAACACCCGUAACAAGGACGACACAACCAAUUGUUCAGUCAACAAAACCCGUAACAAGGACAACACAACCAAUGGUUCAGUCAACAAACCCCGUAACAAGGACAGGACUACCAAUUGUUCAGUCAACAAUACCCGUAACAACCCAACAUGUUCCGAUUUGCAAGAAAGAAUCAUUUUUAUUAUGGAGGAAUCGAAUCGAGUGCCGAGCAUUGAGCCAAGCAGAAAGUUCAUGCACGCUAUUGUUGCUGGUUUGCGAAUUGGUCCGAACGCCUCGCUUGUAGCGCUUGUGAGCCACAACGACCGUUACGACCCCGUUGGAUGGCCUCUUACCAAGAGAAGACUGUCUUGUGGAAGUCAAUCACGACUUUGGAACGUAUCCCAGCCUUGUAGUCGUGCGGACUAGGCUUGAUGAUUUCUCCUUGACGAAUCAUUCUUUGAUGUCUGACGCCAUUGGCUCAGGGUUCAUUUUCGCAAACACCGACGACAUCGGUCUGCAUCACGGAUUUGUGAUUUAUGGUUUCAACGAGUCGGCGUUCCGAGUAUGGACAGAAUCCCAGCGGUAUUCUCAACACCGUAUGCUAUACACGAUACGGUUAAUACCAACGGUGUAUUGGUAUAAUGAUUUACAACUUUGCAAAGUUAUACUCAUUUGUAAAAUGUAUCGACUUCUUUUAAAUUAAAACAAAGAUACGUUUAUAAAGAUUGAUAGAGUUUCGGCCUCAAUAGCUUGAAUAUCAUCGCGGUUAUUAAGUGUAUUUUCAUGUGUUGACGAAUUUCAGAUAUUUUCUGUGGAAAAGACAGUACAGGGUUUGCUAUAUGUGUGAGUAAUGGAACGCUAGAAAUUCUUGCUUGGAAGGAGUCUACUUUGUCACCAACGGAGAAAAUGGAAAUGCUUCUUGGGGCACAGGCUAAUGAAACAUUUGACCAGGAAAAACUCAUGUCAGCGAAAACAAGUGUACUCGAAUAUUUCGUUCAACUUUGGGCCGUUGCUCGCAGUGGACCCAAUGACAACUUCCGGUUUCUAGCCAGCGGUUCAAUGUCGGGAUAUAGACACGGCCAUGUGACUCCUUGCACCUAUGGUGGACUUGUAUUUGCAUAUUCAAACACAACGCUAAGACCUUGGAAGCCAAACAGCAGUGCCGAUAGGGCUGCAAUAAUUUGCAUCUUAGACGUUUUUGCUGGCGGUAAAUACUCACAGAGCACGAAUGAUGCGUUUGCGGUUGCCCACGUAUGGAUUACUUUAGACCACACAUUGCACGAGGAAUGCACUACCUCUCGUGAUUGUUGGGAUGCAUUUUCCACAUGCAGAUAUUUAACAUGCCAAUGUGAGGCCGGAUUUACUGAAACACACCAAGACACAAACCAUACGACCACAGGAUGUUAUGUUGACGGAAAAUGCACUCACGCAAACGAAACUGCUGGCGACUGCAAACUAUGUCAUCUGCCCUUUGACGCAUGUCACUGGCCCGAUGGUAACCGAGUUUAAACAUUUAAUACAUUUAAAGUGGG